UACGUAGGUGGCAAGCGUUGUCCGGAUUUACUGGGCGUAAAGAGCGCGCAGGCGGUCGUUCAAGUCGCGUGUGAAAGCCCCCGGCUCAACUGGGGAGGGUCACGCGAUACUGAUCGACUCGAAGGCAGGAGAGGGUAGUGGAAUUCCCGGUGUAGAGGUGAAAUUCGUAGAUAUCGGGAGGAACACCGGUGGCGAAGGCGGCGAUCUGGGUCGAUACUGACGCUGAGGUGCGAAAGCGUGGGGAGCAAACAGG
rnacentral:rRNA from 1 species